AAAACGACUCUCGGCAACUGAUAUCUCGGCUCUCGCAUCGAUGAAGAACGUAGCGAAAUGCGAUACUUGGUGUGAAUUGCAGAAUCCCGUGAACCAUCGAGUCUUUGAACGCAAGUUGCGCCCCAAGCCGUUAGGCCGAGGGCACGCCUGCCUGGGUGUCACGC
rnacentral:rRNA from 1 species